AGUGAACGCUGGCGGUAGGCCUAACACAUGCAAGUCGAACGGCAGCACAGUAAGAGCUUGCUCUUACGGGUGGCGAGUGGCGGACGGGUGAGGAAUACAUCGGAAUCUACUUUUUCGUGGGGGAUAACGUAGGGAAACUUACGCUAAUACCGCAUACGACCUACGGGUGAAAGCAGGGGAUCUUCGGACCUUGCGCGAUUGAAUGAGCCGAUGUCGGAUUAGCUAGUUGGCGGGGUAAAGGCCCACCAAGGCGACGAUCCGUAGCUGGUCUGAGAGGAUGAUCAGCAACACUGGAACUGAGACACGGUCCAGACUCCUACGGGAGGCAGCAGUGGGGAAUAUUGGACAAGGGGCGGAAGCCUGAUCCAGCCAUACCGCGCGGGUGAAGAAGGCCUUCGGGUUGUAAAGCCCUUUUGUUGGGAAAGAAAAGCAGCAGGUUAAUACCCCGCUGUUCUGACGGAACCCAAAGAAUAAGCACCGGCUAACUUCGU
rnacentral:rRNA from 1 species